rnacentral:rRNA from 1 species
CCUACGGGAGACAGCAGUGAGGAAUAUUGGUCAAUGGGCGCGAGCCUGAACCAGCCAAGUAGCGUGAAGGAUGACUGCCCUACGGGUUGUAAACUUCUUUUAUAAAGGAAUAAAGUGAGGCACGUGUGCCUUUUUGUAUGUACUUUAUGAAUAAGGAUCGGCUAACUCCGUGCCAGCAGCCGCGGUAAUACGGAGGAUCCGAGCGUUAUCCGGAUUUAUUGGGUUUAAAGGGUGCGUAGAUGGGUUGGUAAGUCAGUUGUGAAAGUUUGCGGCUCAACCGUAAAAUUGCCAUUGAUACUGGCUGUCUUGAGUACAGUUGAGGUAGGCGGAAUUCGUGGUGUAGCGGUGAAAUGCUUAGAUAUCACGAAGAACUCCGAUUGCGAAGGCAGCUUACUAAACUGCCACUGACAUUGAUGCUCGAAAGUGUGGGUAUCAAACAGGAUUAGAUACCCUUGUAGUC